rnacentral:misc_RNA from 1 species
CCGGAGCAUCAAGUAUCUUCAGCCACCAGGACGCAACGGUGAUGUUCAGAAUUUUGGACAAUGGGGAAAACCACUGAUCCAGCCAUCCCGCGUGUGCGAUGAAGGCCUUCGGGUUGUAAGCGCGCAUGCGGAAAAACAGCGCAGGAUAUGCCCAAUGCAACAAGCAGUACCUGCAAGUAAGCACCGGCUAACUACGUGCCAGCAGCCGCGGUAAUACGUAGGGUGCAAGCGUUAAUCGAGAUUACUGAGGCGUAAAGCGUGCGACAGUUCAGGAAGAAAAGAAUAAUCCCUGACUUAAACUUUUGGAACUGCAUUUUUAACUACCGAAGCAAGUGUGUCAGAGGGAGGUGGGAACUACGCGUGUAGCAGUGAAGAAAUGCGUAGAUAUGCCGGAAGAACACGAUAGCGAAGGCGACCUCCCUGGGAUAACACUGACGCUCAUGCACAGCGUGGGGAGCGGCAAGUUAAAUACCCGGUGGU